rnacentral:rRNA from 1 species
AUUCCCUACGGGGCGCAGCAGUGGGGAAUAUUGGGCAAUGGGCGCAAGCCUGACCCAGCAACGCCGCGUGAAGGAAGAAGGCUUUCGGGUUGUAAACUUCUUUUAUCAGGGACGAAGCAAGUGACGGUACCUGAUGAAUAAGCCACGGCUAACUACGUGCCAGCAGCCGCGGUAAUACGUAGGUGGCAAGCGUUAUCCGGAUUUACUGGGUGUAAAGGGCGUGUAGGCGGGAGUGCAAGUCAGAUGUGAAAACUAUGGGCUCAACCCAUAGCCUGCAUUUUAAACU